UCUUCCCUCUGGCGGCGUGCCUAAUACAUGCAAGUCGAGCGAACAGACGAGGAGCUUGCUCCUCUGACGUUAGCGGCGGACGGGUGAGUAACACGUGGAUAACCUACCUAUAAGACUGGGAUAACUUCGGGAAACCGGAGCUAAUACCGGAUAAUAUAUUGAACCGCAUGGUUCAAUAGUGAAAGACGGUUUUGCUGUCACUUAUAGAUGGAUCCGCGCCGCAUUAGCUAGUUGGUAAGGUAACGGCUUGCCAAGGCGACGAUGCGUAGCCGACCUGAGAGGGUGAUCGGCCACACUGGAACUGAGACACGGUCCAGACUCCUACGGGAGGCAGCAGUAGGGAAUCUUCCGCAAUGGGCGAAAGCCUGACGGAGCAACGCCGCGUGAGUGAUGAAGGUCUUCGGAUCGUAAAACUCUGUUAUUAGGGAAGAACAAAUGUGUAAGUAACUAUGCACGUCUUGACGGUACCUAAUCAGAAAGCCACGGCUAACUACGUG
rnacentral:rRNA from 1 species